rnacentral:rRNA from 1 species
AUGGCGUCCCACAUCAUCCUGCCGCCGGACGACGACGACGAGCAGCAGCGGAGGGAGGACGAGGAGAACGACGGCGGCGGGAGCGGGGGCGACGGGCAGCAGCAGCAGGCCGGGGGCAACGACGCCAAGGCGGCGCUGCCCUUCUCCGCCAUGUGCGUGCGGAUCUCCCGCGACUCCUACCCCAACCUCCGCGCCCUCCGCAACGCCUCCCACGCCAGCCUCACCGACGCCGCAUACGUCAAGAUCUCCGAGGGCGACUUCGGAUACGUCCUCGACGACGUCCCCCACCUCGCAGACUACCUCCCCGACGUCCCCACUUACCCGAACCCAUUACAAGACCACCCAGCAUAUUCAACUGUCAAGCAGUAUUUUGUCAAUGAAGAUGACACCGUACCACAAAAGGUUGUUGUUCAAAAGAAUAGCCGCCGGGGGGUUCACUUCCGUCGUGCUGGACCCCGUCAGAGGGUUAAUUUUGAGUCAGACGAAGUGAAAGCAUGCAUUGUAAGUUGUGGAGGCCUUUGCCCUGGGCUCAACACUGUUAUCAGGGAGCUGGUGUGUGGCUUGGCGCACAUGUACAAUGUCAACAACAUCUUUGGAAUACAGAAUGGAUACAAGGGCUUCUAUUCUAGCAAUUAUGUUGCUAUUACACCAAAGACAGUCAAUGACAUCCACAAAAGGGGUGGUACAGUCCUUGGAACAUCACGAGGGGGUCAUGAUACAAAAAAAAUUGUUGACAACAUUCAGGAUCGGGGAAUUAAUCAGGUGUAUAUCAUUGGAGGAGAUGGAACUCAGAAGGGAGCAUAUGAGAUCUACAAGGAAAUCCGGAAGCGUGGCCUAAAAGUUGCCGUGGCAGGGGUUCCCAAGACAAUAGACAAUGACAUAGCGAUUAUUGACAAGUCCUUUGGUUUUGAUUCGGCCGUCGAAGAGGCUCAACGUGCCAUUAAUUCAGCUCAUGUGGAAGCUUGCAGUGCUGAGAAUGGAAUAGGCUUGGUAAAACUGAUGGGUCGUUAUAGUGGGUUCAUUGCGAUGUAUGCUACUCUUGCAAGCCGGGAUGUGGAUUGCUGCUUGAUUCCAGAGUCUCCGUUUUAUAUGGAUGGGGAAGGGGGGUUGCUUCAAUAUGUAGAGAGGAGGCUGAAAGAGAACAAACACAUGGUUAUUGUUGUUGCUGAGGGAGCAGGCCAGGAUAUUAUUGCCAAAAGCAUACCCGCUUCAGAUCAGCAAGAUGCAUCUGGAAAUAAGCUGCUUCUUGAUAUUGGUCUCUGGCUGACUCACAAGAUUAAGGAUCACUUCAAGAGCAAAAAGAUGGAGAUGACGAUCAAAUACAUUGAUCCUACCUACAUGAUCCGAGCUAUUCCGAGUAAUGCAGCAGACAAUGUCUACUGCACACUGCUGGCUCACAGUGCCAUCCAUGGCGCAAUGGCGGGUUACAGCUUCACUGUUGGGAUGGUCAAUGGCAGACAUGCCUAUAUACCUUUCUAUAGGGUGACGUCCACACGGAACAAGGUGAAGAUCACUGACCGGAUGUGGGCGAGGCUGCUGUCGUCGACCAACCAGCCAAGCUUCCUGAGCCAGAAGGACAUCGAUGAGGCCAGGGAAGCCGAUAGGCUGGCCAACAAGCCGCCGCUGCCGUCUGUCGCCAACCACAAUGUGGCAAAAGCCUUUGACCAAUCUGCAUCGACUUCGUCCAACGGCGAGAUAUAG